UAGAUUGGGAUCGUGACUUGCAUCAUUUGGAAAUGCUGGUAAACCAUGGUUUAAGGAUCUUGGAGCUUGGUGAAGCUGAAGUUGAUGAAGAUGAUGCUGUUGAUGAAGAUGAUCGGGAUUCCCAGCCCAUACCCAUUACUGAGCCUCUGGGAGAUGCUGAGGGUGUGUCUGCAGGGAGGACUUCUCCAGCUCCUUUGCUGAUCCCUACACAGAAGCCUGGCUCCCAUGGCAGGGGUCCUCUGAGAAUGGAGAACAAACUUAGAGGAGACACUAAGUCCUGGAGGCAUCCAAACACAUGGAGGAGAUGCCGAGUGAUCUGGAGAGACGCCGUGGUGGGUGCAUUUCCCUCAUGCUUCCCCUGGGACUCAGCAGCCGGGGCCUUUGGCUGCACAUCUGGACACGCCGUGCCCGGCACAGCGGGAAGGGAUCCAUGGCAGCCUCGCUGCCCCACUGCUGCUGCUGCUGCUGCUUUGACACCCUGCAGUGCUGUUUCCCAACCUGGCCUGGCUGUAGCUUUUUCCCAGCCCCUGCAGGAAGGCAUUUGGCAUUAGCUGACAGGCAGCCCAAACUGCACCAUGUGCCUGAGAUCCCCUGAAAUUUCAUAGUCUCCAGGAUGAUCACUAAGGGUGGGUAUUAUGAUGAAGAUGGGCCCUGGUCUACCCAGAAAAUUCUGUGGAUUCCUGAUCCUUAACCAUGACUUUCACAAGUACUGGCUGCUGAAGAUGCCACCUCCCCAGUGGGGAACAGCCCCACCUGAUCCAGCCGUCCCUCUUCCUUUCUCCAGAAGUGGAUGGAGAGGCAGGGCAGAAGGAAGAAUUUCCCAGGAGAAGCAGUGGCUCCAUGCUAGCCUCUGCUGCAGGAAGGGAGGCCAUGCCAGGCACAGUCACAGGAGGUAAUUGCUGUGCCUCUGGGCCUGAGCCCUGCUGAGGCUUGAGCUGCCCUCUCUGCUGCUUGGCAGUGCAGGCACAGCAUGGACUAGAGCGGCACAGCCCAGGGGAAUUAUCCCGAGCAGGCUCAGGGCACUGAGCAGUCCUGCUGGGGUCCCUCCAUGGGAGACAUGUCCUGAAAACUGGCAGCGACUGCACGGGGUGCCCACGGUGGGGA